rnacentral:rRNA from 1 species
AUUGAACGCUGGCGGCAUGCUUUACACAUGCAAGUCGAGCGGCAGCGCGGGGGCAACCCUGGCGGCGAGCGGCGAACGGGUGAGUAAUGCAUCGGAACGUAUCCUCGAGUGGGGGAUAACCCAGCGAAAGUUGGGCUAAUACCGCAUGAGCUCUGAGGAGGAAAGCGGGGGACCUGCGAGGGCCUCGCGCUGGAGGAGCGGCCGAUGUCCGAUUAGCGAGUUGGUGGGGUAAAGGCCUACCAAGGCGACGAUCGGUAACUGGUCUGAGAGGAUGAUCAGCCACACUGGAACUGAGACACGGGCCAGACUCCUAAGGGAGGCAGCAGUGGGGAAUAUUGGACAAUGGGGGAAAGCCUGAUCCAACCAUGCCGCGGGGGUGAAAAAGGUCUUCGGGUUUUAAAGCACUUUAAGGUGGGAGGAAAAGGGGUGAGUUAAAACCUCGCUGUUUUGACGUGACCAGCAGAAAAAGCACCGGCUAAAUUCGUG